rnacentral:sRNA from 1 species
GCCGGCUGUAACGUGAACAUCAAGAACCGAGAAGGAGAGACGCCCCUCCUGACAGCCUCUGCCAGGGGCUACCAUGACAUCGUGGAGUGUCUGGCCGAACAUGGAGCCGACCUUAAUGCUUGCGACAAGGAUGGACACAUUGCCCUUCAUCUGGCUGUAAGACGGUGUCAGAUGGAGGUAAUCAAGACUCUCCUCAGCCAAGGGUGUUUCGUCGAUUAUCAAGACAGGCACGGCAAUACUCCCCUCCAUGUGGCGUGUAAAGAUGGCAACAUGCCUAUCGUGGUGGCCCUCUGUGAAGCAAACUGCAAUUUGGACAUCUCCAACAAGUAUGGACGAACGCCUCUGCACCUUGCGGCCAACAAUGGAAUCCUAGACGUGGUCCGGUAUCUCUGUCUGAUGGGAGCCAGCGUUGAGGCGCUGACCACGUGAUCUCUAAAACUGCAACAGAACAGCCCCUACAUGUCCCUUUUCUCCCCAGUGGCAGGGGAACAGUGACAGCUUCUGCCUCUCAGGGGUGACUUCAAGGACCGAGGCUUGCAGAGCACUGAGAGCUGGGUCGGGCACAUAUUAUGAGGUGGUGUUCAAUAAAUACUUGCUGUCAUCGUGUAUGUUCAUGGUGUAGAUACAGAAACAAAUUUAUUCAGUGUGAAACUGCAGCCUAUGAAAAAUCUCUAAAUAAAAAGCAAGCAUAAAA